CAGUAGCCGCGGUAAAACAGAGGGUGCGAGCGUUAAUCGGAUUUACUGGGCGUAAAGCGUGCGUAGGCGGCUAAUUGAGUCGGAUGUGAAAUCCCCGAGCUUAACUUGGGAAUUGCAUUCGAUACUGGUUAGCUAGAGUGUGGGAGAGGAUGGUAGAAUUCCAGGUGUAGCGGUGAAAUGCGUAGAGAUCUGGAGGAAUACCGAUGGCGAAGGCAGCCAUCUGGCCUAACACUGACGCUGAGGUACGAAAGCAUGGGGAGCAAACAGGAUUAGAUACCCGGGUAGUCCCUGUCUCUUAUAA
rnacentral:rRNA from 1 species